rnacentral:lncRNA from 1 species
GGUUGGUGAGCAGGUGGCGACGCAGAAGAAUCCUUGCGCGCCUGGGAUCACAGGUGGCGGCGGACAGGGGAGUAGGUGGUGACGCAGAAGAAUCCCAAUGCGCCUACGAUCACCGGUGGCAGCUGGCUCGUGAGCAGGUGGUGACGCAGAACAAUUCACGUGCGCCAGGGAUCAUUGGUGGUGGCAGACAGGUGAGCAGGUGGCGCAGAAGAAUCCCUGCGCGCGCUGCGGAGCAGGCGGCGACGGCGACGGCGCCGCUAGGAGAUCACGAGGCGGAGGUUCGCGUUCCCCUAACCCUCGCAUGCAGCCGAGCGAGCAGCGGUUCCGGAGCGAGCGAGCCGCUGGCGCACGCGGUUCCGAAGCGAGCGAGCCGCUGGACGAGUAUCGCGAGUGCUUCCGUCAGAUUGGAAUCGGCAUCCACGCAUCACGCGAGCACACGGGUGUGCACCGGAU